AACAGAAGGAAGUCAAUGCACCAUUAUGACUCAGAUGACAAAUCAGAAACAAGGGAAAAUGGUGUUGCAGGUGACUUAGAUGGUCCCAAGUCCAAAAAAGCUAAAAUGAGAGAACAGCUAAAUGGAGACACUGAAGAAAGAUUUAACAGACUUUCAGAUGAAUACUCUACAUCUCUGAGGUCAAGAAGAAAACAUCUCUGCCAAAUGGAAGUAUUGAAUAUGAAAACAAAUCAAAACGUAUAUCUUCCUUGGACAAUUCUCACAAAUCAAGUGAUAAUAAACAAGAGGAGUUCCUAUCAGUACUUAUGAAUUGACUUCUGACUUCUUGCGACAAGACCCUAACGGAUGAACAGAAAGAAGGAGCUUCUCUAAUUUCUCAAUCUCGGAAGAGAUUAUAAAGCUUCUGAAAGGUCAUAGAGUGGCAUACUUAUUUUCUUUUUAGUUAAGACCUUUGGCCCUGUGUAUGAAGGAAAGGAUCUGAUUGCUCAAGCACAGACAGGAACAGGGGAGACAUUCCCCUUGAUUGAAAGGCUCCAAAGAAAUCAAGAAAAAUUUUAAAAAGUCACUCACCAAAGGUACUUGUUUUGGUUCCAACAAGGGAACCGGACAACCAAGUAACCAAAGACUGCAAAGAUAUAACUAGAAAACUCAGUAUUGCCUGUUUUUAUGGUGGAACAUCAUAUCAAAGCCAGAUUAAUCAUAUUUGAAAUGGUAUUGACACAUUGGUCGGGAAACUUGGUCGAAUCAAAGACCAUCUGCACAGUGGCCCACUGGAUCUCUCUAAGCUACACCGUGUUGUACUUGAUGAAGUGGAUCAAAUGUUGUUAGAUUUAGGUUUUGCUGAACAAGUUGAAGAUAUUAUCCGUGAAUCCUACAAAGCCGAUUCUGAAGACAAUCCUCAGACUUUACUUUUUCCCACAACUUGCCCACAGUGGGUAUACAAAGUUGCAAAAAAAAUACAUGAAAUCCAGAUAUGAACAGGUUGACCUUGUUGGAAAAAUGACUCAAAAGGCUGCAACUACUGUAGAACAUUUGGCCAUCCAAUGCCAUUCGUCUCAGAGGCCAGCAGUUAUUGGAGAUGUCCUUCAAGUGUACAGUGGGUCUGAAGGGAGAGCUAUUAUUUUUUGUGAGACCAAAAAGAAUGUAACUGAAAUGGCCCGGAAUCCGCACAUGAAACAGAAUGCCCAGUGUUUACAUGGGGACAUUGCACAGCCACAGAGAGAAAUCACUCAAAAGGCCUCAGAGAAAGUAAUUUUAAAGUACUGUUAGCAACCAAUGUUGCUGUCCGUGGUCUGGACAUUCCUGAGGUUGACCUGGUAAUUCAGAGUUCUUCUCCAUAGAAUGUUGAAUCCUGUAUCCAUCACUCUGAAUGCACUGGAAGAGCUGGCCGGACAGGAAUUUGUAUAUGUUUUUUAUCAACCUAGAGAAAAAAGUCAACUAUGAUACAUGGAACAAAAAGCAGGAAUUAUUUUUAACCAUGUAGGUGUUCCUUCUACAAAGGAUUUAGUUAAGUUUAAAAGCAUGGAUGCCACCAAGCCUCUGGCUUCUGUUUCUUUUACUGUUGUUGAUUUUUUCCAACCAUCAGCUCAGAGACUGAUAGAAGAGAAAGGGGCAGUGGCUGCACUGGCUGCAACAUUAGCCCAUAUUUCUGGUGCAUCAAACUUUGAACCAAGAUCUUUGAUCACUUCUGGUAAGGGGUUUGUGACCAUGACUCUGGAAAGCCCUAAAGAAAAUCAAGGUGUCAACUGUGCUUGGAAGGAACUUAAUAGAAAGCUGAGUAGUAAUGCCGUGGCCCACGUUGCCAGAAUGUGCCUUCUAAAAGGAAACACGGGUGUUUGCUUUGAUGUUCCUACAACUGACUCAGAAAGAUUACAGGCAGAGUGGCAUAAUUCAGACUGGACACACUCAAUACCAGCCAAAUUACCUGAAAUUGAAGACUAUUAUGACAGAAAUACAUCUUCUAAUGCAAGACAGAGGAGUGGUUGGUCAGGGGGCCGAUUAGGCCAAUUGGGCCAGGCAGGUGGUCGAUCUGGCCAGUCAGGACAAGGGACAGAGAAGGAAGUCGGUCAGGAAAUCAAAAAGAUGGUAGAAGACAAAGUGGGAACAGAAACCGAUCAAGAAGUGGGGGACACACACAGAAUUUUGACUGUUUGACAUUCUAUCCAUUUGAGCUUACCUAUUUUUUGCCUAAUCAUGUACAUUAG